GAUGAACGCUGACAGAAUGCUUAACACAUGCAAGUCAACUUGAAUUUGGGUUUUUAACUUAGGUUUGGGUGGCGGACGGGUGAGUAACGCGUAAAGAACUUGCCUCACAGCUAGGGGCAACAUUUAGAAAUGAAUGCUAAUACCUAAUAUUAUGAUAAUAGGGCAUCCUAUAAUUAUGAAAGCUAUAUGCGCUGUGAGAGAGCUUUGCGUCCCAUUAGCUAGUUGGAGAGGUAACGGCUCACCAAGGCGAUGAUGGGUAGCCGGCCUGAGAGGGUGAUCGGCCACAAGGGGACUGAGACACGGCCCUUACUCCUACGGGAGGCAGCAGUGGGGAAUAUUGGACAAUGGACCGAGAGUCUGAUCCAGCAAUUCUGUGUGCACGAUGAAGUUUUUCGGAAUGUAAAGUGCUUUCAGUUGGGAAGAAAGAAAUGACGGUACCAACAGAAGAAGUGACGGCUAAAUACGUGCCAGCAGCCGCGGUAAUACGUAUGUCACGAGCGUUAUCCGGAUUUAUUGGGCGUAAAGCGCGUCUAGGUGGUUAUAUAAGUCUGAUGUGAAAAUGCAGGGCUCAACUCUGUAUUGCGUUGGAAACUGUAUAACUAGAGUACUGGAGAGGUAAGCGGAACUACAAGUGUAGAGGUGAAAUUCGUAGAUAUUUGUAGGAAUGCCGAUGGGGAAGCCAGCUUACUGGACAGAUACUGACGCUGAAGCGCGAAAGCGUGGGUAGCAAACAGG
rnacentral:rRNA from 1 species